CCUACGGGUGGCUGCAGUGGGGAAUAUUGGGCAAUGGGCGCAAGCCUGACCCAGCAAAGUAGCGUGAAGGAAGAAGGCUCUCGGGUUGUAAACUUCUUUUCUCAGGGACGAAGAAAGUGACGGUACCUGAGGAAUAAGCCACGGCUAACUACGUGCCAGCAGCCGCGGUAAUACGUAGGUGGCAAGCGUUAUCCGGAUUUAUUGGGUGUAAGGGGCGUGUAGGCGGGAGCGCAAGUCAGAUGUGAAAACUCGGGGCUCAACCCUGAGCCUGCAUUUGAAACUGUGUUUCUUGAGUGCUGGGGAGGCAGUCGGAAUUCCGUGUGUAGCGGUGAAAUGCGUAGAUAUACGGAGGAACACCAGUGGCGAAGGCAGAUUGCUGGACUGUAACUGACGCUGAGGCGCGAAAGCGUGGGGAGCAAACAGGAUUAGAUACCCGUGUAGUC
rnacentral:rRNA from 1 species